GUGGAAAGAGAGAUGGGCAGAAUCUUGCUAGAACACUGCAGAAAGAGUUGUUCCAGAGGGACCAAAAGAGGCUCUUAGAUCCAGGGAAAAAGGCCCACUCCUUGGCACAUAAGAAUAAUAAUUUCUCUUGGAGUCAUUACCACCAAGGGAAUAACUUUGCCUGGAAUAUGGAUGGUGCGCUCAAACCUGAGCAUGGACAAGGGAGGUCCAGAUUAUAGGCUUCAGGGUGCCGAGACUCUUACAUGGCAGCUGGAGCCCUGGAUCCUACAGAGACACUGCUGGAGGCUGUACGACCUUUUCUAAGCCAACUACAGAAGUCACGCAGCAGCACUUCUACCACAUUCCAUUCAUUAAAGUGACUACAAAGCCCGGCCCAGUUUUAAGAGGACGUAGACUUGACCUCUUAAUCACCUGCCAGACUUUGGCCCUCACAGGGGCUGUGGUCUUCUUCCCUGCCACGAGGCUUGAUUCUUUGGGGCUGGACAGAGGAAUACGGCGAGGAGACGCAGUCCUCAGCUUCCUGGUGGGGCCGCAGCCUUCUCAUGGUGACUGUCUCCUGCUGCCGCCCACAGGCACCUCCUAAAUCUGCAAGCGAUUCUCUGGUGGCCCCUACUCACUUGGCUUGUGGGGAAUGAAGAAAUGGAGGGGUCGGGAGAGCCACCUCUUCUCCCAGAGAGGAAAUGUCACAGCAUCAACCACUGUGGGAGUGAUUCCCACCGAAGUCUGGGGAACAUACACUUUUAAUCACCAAGCUGACUCAGAUAAAACAUGGGAAAAUGUAUGUUUAGAUGACUUAAAGGAACAAAGAAAAGCAUAUAAAAAUGCACUGGACAUCACAAUGGAAGGAUGCCCGUUAAAUGGGCAGAUAAUUUGUGAUUUUAAUGUUCUUAUGCUUGUCUAGCUGCUUGCCUGUUGCUUGUCUAGAUGCUUACUGUUGAAGUCAGAAAAUCUGAUUAUUACAAAUUUCCUCCUGUUGAGGUCACUGCAGUCUGUAUGACACCCAUGAUCUGAAGUGGGGGAUGGGAUGCUUUGGGCAAUGCCUGUGGUUUGCAGAAGCAACUUAGGAACUGUCUGCAAUCUUCUGUUACUGGAAAUGACGAAGUACCACACAGGAAUGAGAUAGCUUGGGUGUUGAGAAGGGGCCCCUACAAGCAGAUGAUGAGCCCCACAAAAAAAGACCACCCCACUCAGGCUUGACCUAUAAUGAGAGUUGGUUUGAUACUUGGUCAGGCACUUCCUGUGCUCGAAGUUCUCACAAGAACAUCUUCCCAAGAGCUUUCGGCAUUGCUCACAGAGAUGACUCUGAAAUGUAACUGCAAGUUACUUGAAAAAUCAUCCCCUAUAACUGAACAGCCAUUUCUCCAGGAAAGCACUUCUUCCCUUUCAGGCCUUGAGAAGAAAUUCCCUUUGUGUCAGCUUUUGGUCAUUGCCAGAUUCCUAAUCAUUUCCCUCUGGACAUUUGAAAGGUAGCUGACUAUGGAAUUUCCCACAGAAUUUGGGGAAGGAAGCCUAUGCCUCACCAUGUUUCAGGGCCUCACCAUUACCCAUGGAAGGGUAAAUUUAAAAAUUGAACAUUCUCAGUGGCAAAAUGGAAAAAGACCUUCCCCCUCCCUUUCUUAGACCAUUCCCAUGAGAAACCUAGUGUUUGUGAACCCUUCCUCUGCUUUGAUGUGUAUGUAAAUAUUUGUAAGUAAGGCAGCCUGCCAGCUUUACAACCCAAGAACGCUGUAAGGGCCUGGGUGCUAUCUCUUUAAAAUAUAAACAUCAAGGGAGAUAGCAUUCCUAUCUCCUAGUCAUAAAGGGAGUUUAGCCUAGGCAUGUUGCUUCAAGCUACAGCCACCUGCUUAUCAUCCAGGGGAUGGCAAUUCAGACAUAGGCAAUUAGCAGGCUAAUUAGC